CCCACAAGGUAGCACGCCGUUUCCCGUGGGGAGCGUUUCCGCCAUUUUUGAAAAUUAAUUGGGAAGGUACUGGUUUUACGUGUAGUUGCCGACGCAAUGGCAGCCUUUGCAGUGGAACCUCAGGGGCCCGCGUUAGGAUCUGAACCAAUGAUGCUGGGUUCACCCACAUCUCCAAAGCCAGGAGUUAAUGCCCAGUUCUUACCUGGAUUUUUAAUGGGGGAUUUGCCAGCUCCGGUGACUCCACAACCUCGAUCAAUUAGUGGCCCUUCAGUAGGAGUAAUGGAAAUGAGAUCACCUUUACUUGCAGGUGGGUCACCACCACAACCAGUUGUACCAGCUCAUAAAGAUAAAAGUGGCGCUCCACCAGUUAGAAGUAUAUAUGAUGACAUUUCUAGCCCAGGACUUGGAUCAACACCUUUAACUUCAAGAAGACAGCCAAACAUUUCAGUAAUGCAGAGCCCUCUUGUUGGAGUUACAUCUACUCCUGGAACAGGGCAAAGUAUGUUUAGUCCAGCAAGUAUCGGUCAGCCACGAAAGACGACAUUAUCUCCUGCCCAGUUGGAUCCUUUUUAUACUCAAGGAGAUUCUUUGACUUCAGAAGAUCACCUCGAUGACUCUUGGGUGACUGUAUUUGGGUUUCCUCAAGCAUCUGCUUCCUACAUAUUACUACAAUUUGCACAGUAUGGGAAUAUCUUAAAACAUGUGAUGUCUAAUACAGGAAAUUGGAUGCAUAUUCGUUAUCAAUCUAAACUGCAGGCUCGGAAGGCCUUAAGCAAAGAUGGGAGGAUUUUUGGAGAAUCCAUCAUGAUUGGUGUAAAACCAUGUAUUGACAAAAGUGUUAUGGAAAGCAGUGACAGAUGUGCUUUAUCAUCUCCAUCUUUAGCCUUUACACCACCAAUCAAAACUCUAGGUACACCAACACAACCUGGAAGUACUCCUAGGAUUUCUACCAUGAGACCUCUUGCUACAGCAUACAAAGCCUCUACUAGUGAUUAUCAGGUUAUUUCUGACAGACAAACGCCAAAAAAAGAUGAAAGUCUUGUAUCCAAAGCAAUGGAGUACAUGUUUGGCUGGUAGUAGAACACCAAGAAGGAGGUUGCUACACUAAAACAGAGUUAGCAGAGUGCUGCUGGUUCCUUCGGUCUGCUGGAGUUUGCUGGAGGUCCACUCCAGACCCUGUUUGCCUGGGUAUCAACAGCAGAGGCCUCAGAACAUCAAAGAUUGCUGCCUGCUUCUUCCUCUGUAAGCUUCAUCCUAGCGGUCAUCCCCCUGAUGCCAGCCAGACCUCUCCUGUAUGAGUUGUCUGUUAACCCCUGCUGGGAGAUGUCUCUCAGUCAGGAGGCAUGGGGGUCAGGGACCCACCUGAGGAGGCAGUCUGUUCCUUAGCAGAACUGGAGUGCUGUGCUGGGAGAUCCACUGCUCUCUUCAGAGCCAGCAGGCAGGAACAUUUAAGUCUGCUGAAGCUGUGCCCACAGCUGCCUCUUCUCCCAGGUGCUCUGUCCCAGGGAAAUGGGAGUUUUACUAUAAGUCCCUGACUGGGGCUGCUGGCUUUCUUUCAGAGAUGCCCUGCCCGGUGAGGAGGAAUCUAAAGAGGAAGUCUGGCCACAGUCGUUUUUCUGUGCUGGGGUGAAUUCCACACAGUCUGAACUUCCCGGUUGCUUCCUUAACACUGUGUGGGGAAAACUGCCUACUCAAGCCUCGUAAUGGCAGACUUCCCAACCCCCACCAAGCUCAAGCGUCUCAGGUCAGUUUCAGACUGCUGAGCUGGCAGCCACAAUUUCAAGCCAGUGGUUCUUAGCUUGCUGGAACCCAGCAAGCUAAGAGUGGGAGUGGGACCUGCUGAGUGAGACCACUUGGCUCCUUGGCUUCAGCCCCCUUUCCGGGGGUGUGAACGAUUCUGUCUCGCUGGGGUUUCAGGCGCUCCUGGGGUACGAAAAAUAAACUCCUGCAGCUAGCUCAGUGUCUGCCCAAACAGGCACCCAGUUUUGUGCUUGAGACCCAGGGCCCUGGUGGUAUAGACAUAUGAGGGAAUCUCCUGGUCUGCAGUUUGUAAAAACUAUGGGAAAACUGUAGUAUCUGGGUUGGAUAGCACAGUCCCUUGACUAGGUGAGGGAGGUCCCUGGACCCUUGCACUUCCCGGGUGAGGUGACGCCCCACCCUGUUUCUGCUUGCCCUCCAUGGGCUGCACCCACUAACCAGUCCCAGUGAGAUGAACCGGGUACCUCAGUUGGAAAUGCAGAAAUCACCCGCCUUCUGUGUUGUUCUCACAGGGAGCUGCAGACGGGAGCUGUUGCUAUUCAGUCAUCUUGCCCAGGAACUCCUAGAGUUAAAUUUAAAUACAGAAGCUGGAAAAUCUGAUAUAAAAAUCAGUUGCUGUAUUUAAGAUUUCAGGAAGAUUGACAGCUUUUCCUUUACUUUUUGUUUUCCUUUCCACCUUUCUUAAGGCUUGGUUUCAGCCCUAUUAUACAUAUUUACUUUUAUCAGAAAGGAUCAGAAAUGUUUUUUGAGUGUAAUGAACAGGCAUAAAUACUUUUUCAAAACAUUUUUCUUAAAACAUUUUUCUUAAAACAUUUUUCUAAAAAUAUUUUUCUUUUUCAAAGUUUUUUUUUUUUUUUUUUUGAGACAGAGCCUCGCUCUGUCGCCCAGGCUGGAGUGCAGUGGUGCAAUCUCGGCUCACUGCAAGCUCCGCCUCCUGGGUUCACACCAUUCUCCUGCCUCAGCCUCCCGAGUAGCUGGGACUACAGGUGCCUGCCACCACACCUGGCUAAUUUUUUUUUGUAUUUUUAGUAGAUGUGGGGUUUCACCGUGUUAGCCAGGAUGGUCUUGAUCUCCUGACCUCAUGGCAGUAGAGCUGAGUAAUUUAUAUCCUUAAUAUCAGACACUGAAUUUUGACAGUUCAAGAAGACUUUUAUACUAUAUUUCAGCAUUAAUAUGUAUGUAUUUUUCCCAGGAAAUCAAGAUUAAUGUGAUCUGGACCAAUUAAAUAAAUUUAAAGUUAUUUAA